rnacentral:rRNA from 1 species
CCUACGGGCAGCAGCAGUGGGGAAUAUUGGGCAAUGGGCGCAAGCCUGACCCAGCAACGCCGCGUGAAGGAAGAAGGCUUUCGGGUUGUAAACUUCUUUUUUCAGGGACGAAGCAAGUGACGGUACCUGACGAAUAAGCCACGGCUAACUACGUGCCAGCAGCCGCGGUAAUACGUAGGUGGCAAGCGUUAUCCGGAUUUACUGGGUGUAAAGGGCGUGUAGGCGGGGAAGCAAGUCAGAUGUGAAAACCACGGGCUCAACCUGUGGCCUGCAUUUGAAACUGUUUUUCUUGAGUACUGGAGAGGCAGACGGAAUGCCUAGUGUAGCGGUGAAAUGCGUAGAUAUUAGGAGGAACACCAGUGGCGAAGGCGGUCUGCUGGACAGCAACUGACGCUGAGGCGCGAAAGCGUGGGGAGCAAACAGGAUUAGAUACCCCAGUAGUC